ensembl:lncRNA
CCAAAAUCCAUUGCUGAUGACCGGCAGCCAUCCAGCUCCACUGGCUGCACCACGACUGGAGCCUGCUGCCAGGACAUCUCAUGGAUGGCACUUCGCACUUAGUUUCUGAGGUCAAGGACAUGACAGCACAGGGAGUAUGAAUGUUGAAAGCCUGAUGUAAGGUGGGUGGAGUGUGUUUUAUAGGUGAAAUGAUGCAGCUGGGACAGAUGAAGGAGGAACAGAUGUGACAGCUGGGUGGAGAAGUAAGACAGAUCUCCCUCAGGUUUGGGGAGGUCUUGGAAAGUUAUGUGCAUAGGAAAGGGCAAGAUGAGGAGGAGCUGGAACAGCAGCAGCCCCUCUUGCAGCUGCUAUGUCUCAAACCACCACAAGUGUCAGCAGUGGAUUAUCAAGACACCUGGAGGAGCAGUAAGCUGCUUUGUACUACCGUGCCUGCACAUCUUACCAACAGCGUGGCAUUUUCUACCUUUUCUGUGGCUCCAUCUAACAAGGUGUGCUUAGUUCCUCUAGACAUGAAGACUAAUGAAGAAUUUUAGUCUGUUCGAAUACAACACAGAAUGAUCAACUUCAAGUAGGUAAUCAAAUGGAAUUUUAGAAUAUACUUAAUCAUGUCAUUACAUAUCUUUCUGAAAAGACAAUUAUUGUUUCAUCAAAAAUUACAUAUACAACUAAGACAAUUUUUCAUUCUUUUUAUUUUAUCUGGAAAUCUGAAAAUGUGUCCUAAGAAUGUGUGAAUUAAGCUAAUAAUUAUUCCUCUGAUAUGAAUAACUGUUAGCUCUGAAUUAAUAAUUCUUAGCAGAGACUACGUUACUUUCACCAUCUCUUCCAGUAGUGACUGAAACUGCAUUUUCUCAAAUUAGUUAUUUGAAGCUAUUCUACCUUUGAUUUAAAGUGGGUUAACCUUUAUCACAUCACUCAAUAGUCUAGAUUCUAACUAAAUACAGCUAAUUCCUAAAUUAAAUGAUUUGCUGGUGUCAUGUGGUAUUUCUGUACCUCAGUGAAACGAAGGUCUGUCACUAGCAAUUGUCAGCUGUGAAUGUUCAUCCUCUUUCAAAGGCUUUUUUUUGCUCACCUCUCCUUCCCCUCUAUUCACCAUUUGUAUGUCACCAUUUGUACAUAUUUACCUAUUAACUUUCAGCUGACAAAUCUGCUUCAGAAAAUGUCUUUAUCCUUCUUCAUCUUCUUUCAGUCUGGCAUUUCAUGUUUUUUUCUUCUUUUUUUUUCAGACAUUGCAUCCUGAAUGGCUCAACGUCAACUCAAGUGUAGUCUAACCAAAACCAAUCCUUUUCAUCUUACCUCCAAAACCCUUUCCACUUCCAUUUUCUAUGGUUGCCAAGAAUACCAUUCUACUUGUUAUCCAAAUGCAUAAUCUUUGAUUCUUCCUUUGCCUUCUUUCCUCCAACUCUAACUGAACAACCACACAGAAAUUUUGUCCAUCUUUGCACAGGAUCCAAAUAGCUUUUCUUGAAAUUCAGAAGUUUGCACAGCUCUGUCCUGCUUAGAUUUUGAAGGCACCUCCUUUAAUCUUGUGCUUGGUUUAACAGCUCUCUUUUAUGUAAAAUCUCUCAUAAAGCGAUCCUUUUGUGUCACAUUGAAGAAGUGAGUUUACUGCAACAGCCAUUGUAAUAAUGUUUACCAAUAAAAGCAGAAUCAAUAUAGAGAAAUUUCA